UUUAGUGCAGAGGAGUGAGUAGUAAGUUUCUUCUUUAUGAAUCCAUAGCUCAAAAAUUGAUCCCGAAAACAUCCCAAAAUGAGAAGUUAGUGGUUCAGAUUCACUUUGAUGUAAUUCGGAUCACCGAUUUUUUCCUUUUCAACACAAUUUCGGGUUAAUUUUUUAGGCUAACCAUCAAUUUUGUUUCCUUUAUGUGGUGUGGUCUUAGUUCUUAGGAAGCUAGUGAAUCAACAACUGGAGCUUCCAGAGGUUCCAGGGAACAGCAAAAGAGCCAUUUCAUAUGAACUGAAUGAAGCUUGAAUAUUGGAU